GCCCCGAGCUUAACUUGGGAAUUGCAUCUGAAACUGGUUGGCUAGAGUCUUGUAGAGGGGGGUAGAAUUCCACGUGUAGCGGUGAAAUGCGUAGAGAUGUGGAGGAAUACCGGUGGCGAAGGCGGCCCCCUGGACAAAGACUGACGCUCAGGUGCGAAAGCGUGGGGAGCAAACAGGAUUAGAUACCCUGGUAGUCCACGCUGUAAACGAUGUCGAUUUAGAGGUUGUGGUCUUGAACCGUGGCUUCUGGAGCUAACGCGUUAAAUCGACCGCCUGGGGAGUACGGCCGCAAGGUUAAAACUCAAAUGAAUUGACGGGGGCCCGCACAAGCGGUGGAGCAUGUGGUUUAAUUCGAUGCAACGCGAAGAACCUUACCUACUCUUGACAUCCAGCGAAUCCUUUAGAGAUAGAGGAGUGCCUUCGGGAACGCUGAGACAGGUGCUGCAUGGCUGUCGUCAGCUCGUGUUGUGAAAUGUUGGG
rnacentral:rRNA from 1 species